CGGGGCGUGGCGCAGUCUGGUCAGCGCACAGCGUUCGGGACGCUGGGGUCAUGGGUUCGAAUCCCAUCGCCCCGACCA
rnacentral:tRNA from 1 species